GGGUCAGGAGGUUGGUCGUGCCACCGGUACGUACUGGUCUCACUGAUUCCUCCUUCCUGAAGAACCGUAAUGCCAUUAAUUUGGUGUUGCGGGGAAACAGGACUGUUGCUUUGAAAAAAUUAGAGUGUUUAAAGCAAGCUAACGCUUGAAUACAUUAGCAUGGAAUAAUGAAAUAGGACGAUCGAUCCUAUUUUGUUGGUUUCUAGGAUUGACGUA
rnacentral:rRNA from 1 species